GCAAUGAUGGUUCAGUGGUAGAAUUCUUGCCUGCCACCCAGGAAGCCCGGGUUCAGUUCCCGGCCAAUGCA
rfam:Lepisosteus oculatus linkage group LG23, whole genome shotgun sequence.